UGUUGGUGUGGGUCUGAUGAAGCCAUGAGAAUGUGAAUGCCACGGUUGACACCUCCAAGACAAGACACCCCGUGGUGCUCACCCCUGAUGAGAGCAACACUGUCCAAGGCACAAGUCAACCCUUGUUGCCUGAUGUAUGGUAAUGGUAUCAUAUCAUUCUGCUCCCUGUAUUGUACUAAUUCUCUGCCCACUGCCCUGGGUUGAAAGUUGAGACCUGCAAAGUGACCGCCUUUAAGCAAAAAGGAGGAGUUGAAAAGGUUGCAAGAUCUUGGUUAUAUUUCACGGGGCCAAUCCAUCCAUCCAUCCAUCCAUCCAUGGCCGCACUACUGUCUUCUCUUCUCCAGCAGACAGUUGGUGUUAAACAACAGGAAUGACUGCAUGUACAAAAUGCAGCUCCCAGAAAUGAAUAGUUCUUCAUUGAACUCGGCCAUUGUAAAAUCAGUACAAGAGCUUCUGCCUGCAAGAUAUACAGAGUUAUGAAGAUACGACAAGCCGGAGCACGAGCCGGAGCAACCAGAGGAUCCCUGACUCACUCAUCAUUAUGAGCUUGAAUCCUAUGCUGUGUUAAGAUAAGUCAACAAAAGCUUCUCAUUAUCGAGCCCACUUACACUCUGCAAAUGGCAUGGCAUGUAGAGCAGACAGGACAUGUUUCUGCAUCGCCUAUCAUCGGCCUACUCCUUAAGCACUAAGGAAGAAAUCUGUACCAAAGGUUAAUUAUUCCAGUGACUUUUAUAUCAUGAUGGUUUUUAGAUAGGACAAGAUACUCCUGGGUGAAGAGCUAAUCGUUAUACGCUUGCUUUAAAUUUGCAUGCAAUUAGGCAAAGCCAAUCAUGGAGGAAUGGAACUUACUUAGGGGGCUAGCCGAUAUAUAGGUUUGCACUUUGUACUGAUGCGUAUAUUAGUAGAUAGUAACAUCCUUGUUACGAGAUGUCCUACUAAAGAAGAUGCAUGCAAGUGGUGAGCUUAUAAGCCAAAAAGCUAAGUGUCUUUCCAGUAAAGCUCCCCACAUUACAUGUAAAGAAGAGAUACUAAACAUUAUGUUAACAUGGAAUGUGAGGAGCUGUCGUUGCAUGGAGGAUCAAGAAUAAAGUGGCAUUUCUUUUCUAGGUUAUAUAGAAAGAUGGUACAAUUCGAUAGACUCUUAGGAGUCGGUGAGAAUUUUGAGGCACAUGUAGGUGCAGCAUGGAAUCGUAUGCACUGCUUCCACAUUUAUGUAAAGAGAUCUGAGUAACCAUAGGUAAUCCAACUUGUAGGUUUUUUUGGG